rnacentral:rRNA from 1 species
GUACAUGCCUACAACAUAGCAUUAAUGCAUCGGAUCCCAUUAGAACUCUGCAGUUAAGUGUGCUCGGGCUAGAGUAGUACUGGGAUGGGUGACCACCCGGUAAGUCCUAGUGUUUUACAUU